AGAAACCUAACAUAAAACUUUAAACUAUUUUAUCUUGUAAUGACAACAAUAACAAUUAAAUUUUUCCGAAUUGUCUAAAAACUUCAUGAAUUUUAAUAACAGGUACAUACUUGAAAAUAAUUGUAUUUCAGACUUUUUUUUUCUUAAGGCUUGUCGAGUGACUCUCAAGAUAGCUACAUUUGUGUGCUGUGUUCGUGAGGAAACCAUGUAUAUGUAAAAUUCAAGCGAUUCUGCGGGGCAUAGCAAUAUAUAUAAGAAUGAGCUGAAAAUAUAAGCUAUCAAAUUUUAUGAUUUACAUAAUAAUAAAUAGAAUUUCACAUUGAACAAGGUUUAUUUUGGUUGCAAUAUAUGCCGAUUGAAUUGUUGAUAAAUCUUAGAACAAAAUCCAAAAGAUUGAACUAUUUAAAUAGCUUUAAUUUUCAAUACUACUAGAAAAUUCAGAAAAUGGAAAUCAGAGUUAUAAUUGCAGUGGUUUUGAUAAAAUCAGGAUGCGGAGGGCCACAGUAUCCGUACUACCCCCCCGCCAUGCAGUACCCUAUGAUGCCCGGGCCUCCUCCUAUACUCUUCAUGCCACCGCCCCCCCCGCCACCUGUGUUUUUACCCCCGCCUCCCCCGCGACCUGUACACGUACACGUUUCCAUUCCGACUAAGAAAACCCACAAAACUACGACGGCUACUGUUGCCACCGCCGACGUGAAGAAUGAGCAAGACAGUGUUUUUGUAAUACCGAUUCCAAUACCAGGACCACCAUACCCAGUACCAGUCCCGAUGUUGCCACCACCUCCGAUGCAUAUAGGAUACGGACCACCGCCAUUAUAUCCACCGCCGCCAUUGUACCCACCGGCUCCUUACCUGCCCCCGCCCGCGCCGCCGCCGCUGCAGGCCCCGCCACCGCCGCCACUGCGGCCGUCAAAGUCAUCUCAAAUUUGUAGAAAGAAAAACGGCAAGUGUCAUGGAAAGUCAAAAUUAUGAUGAUGGAUACAGUUACGUAGAUAAUAAUGUGAAUAAACGUUGGUACUACGACAGAUACGGUCACUAUUUUAGAUGAAACUGGAUGAAACAGUAGCGUCGUGGAAUACGAGAGGUGGACGUUUUAUUUCAUUCUGGGGACGCGAUAUUAUUUUAUAAAAGAAAAUUUGUUCGAAGUUGGAAAUUAUUGUAUGGAAAACUGAAGAGUUUUAUUUUAAGCCAGACCAAAGAAAAAGAAAAUAAUUACUUUGUGUUAUUUUUUUAUUUUAUGUGUAAUAACAAUUUUUCUAUGUA